UUGCAGCUGUCAGUGCUGGAGCUUUGGUCAGAGAAGGUCCCAGCAGGGCACUCUUCACAAGUGACAUCACGUGUUGAGGUGCCUGAAUAAAAACAAUGACUGGGGACUGACCAACCAAAACGCACCAGGUCAAGGCCCACGGCCAAGAGCGGGAAAGCAAAAAGAAAACCGAAAGAAAUGAGGGAAGAUUGAAAGUUGGACAAAUGAUUAUUUUACUAAAGACCCAGAGCUACCCCACUGCCUCACAGAUGAGCACCAAAGCCCCUAUCUAAGCUCCUCUAGUAAAAGGACAGGCACCAACACAAGAGACAGCUUGGAAGGUUUAAGUUCCACUGCUGAGGUCAGAGUAUCUGAUACAAAAAGUAAGUAUGUGAGUACAAAAAACACUGUGUGUGAAAGACUUUCCCAGAACU